rnacentral:lncRNA from 1 species
GCAAAUGUAGAUAUGUGAGAAGAAGAAUCAAACUUUUCAUUUUCGAUCUUCUUGUUCAAGAUCCAUUCCUUUAGCUUUUGAAUGUUUUGGUGUGUGAAUUCUAAAGUGCUUCUAACUAAACCAUGUUUUGUUUGGGGGAAUUUAAGGUUUAGGCUUUUGUUGUUGGGUCCUUCCGCAUCUUUCCAUGCUUUUGCAUAGAUUUUUGCAAGAUCUUUUGGAUCAUUUAUAACUGACCUAUUAUAUAAUGGCACUUGUUUGGGGGUUGGUACAGAGGAUUCUUCCAUGCAAAUUUGAGCCCAUGAUUUGAUAAAUGAAGUUGAGCUUCUUCCAUCGAAGAUUGCAUGGUGAUUGGUUAUUCCAAUCGAAAAACCUUUGUUUUGAAAUUUGGUUACCUAUAUAUUGAGAAUAUAAAUAAUUAAUUAAUUGUUACCUUCCAACUAUAGCAAUCAAAUUUAAAGUGUUUACAAAUAUAAUACAAUCCAAAGUUAUAUAUAUAGCAAAACGUUGAAAUAACCAAUCACUAAUCAAUUAAUAAUAGUCGUCUAUUAAUAAUAGUCUAUUACUAAUAUUGGAAACAUAAAUAAUUAAGUGAUUGGUACAAUUGCAAGUAUUCCAAGAUCUAUAUUUGGAUUUUAUAAUCUAUCUAGCUAUUAGUGAUAUUUUAGAGAUAUUACAAGUCUAUUACUAGUAAUAUUCUAUCAAUGAAAGAAAUAAUGUAUUACUAAUGGAGAAAUUUAUAACGAGAAUGUCUAUCAUUGAUAAAUAUUUUACAAUACCUGUAUAAUUCAACUUUAACGCAUGGUUGUUAUACAUUUACUUAUUUAGCUAUAAAAGUUAUAUUCUUUAUAAUAAUUGUUAUAACUAAUCUUAAUUAAAUAAGGUUUGGUUCUUAACCAUGCAUUUAAGUGACUUAAAUGCAGUACGUAUGUUUUUUCCUUUCAAUUUAGUCCUUUAAAAAUUUUUAAUUUAGCAUUUUUGGUUAGUGAAUAAUGUCAAGAAAUUUUUUAGAAAGAAAAGAAAAAAAAGCUAUCUUAUAAGCAAACAAAAAGUAAAAAUUUCAACUAACUUCGUAGAAACAAACAGGGGGAAGAAAUUAGAAACCUUUUUUUCUUUUUGUUAAAAUUGAAACAGAUGAACAAGAAGAAGAACUAGCUGAAGAUGAAAAACAAAGAUAAUAAAACAUCAAAUGAAAGUGAUGAAGAAGAAAAUAUAAGGUGGGAAAACAAAAUAAGAAAAAGGCAAUAGAAAAACUUAAAUAUUGUGAUAUUCCGCUAUAUCAACCUAUCUAAAUUGAAUAUAUAGUGAUUGUCUACGAUUGAUUGUUCUUAUUAUUAAUUCCAACAAUUUCUUGUUGCAGAAGAAAGAAAGAGAAAAUAAAGAAAGAAAUAAAGUGAUAAUUAUCUGCAAUAUUGAACACAAAAUCUCAAAAUUUUAAAAAUAUUUUACUGCAUCUUAAAAUCUUUUGGUGUUUUCUUACCAAAAUUAACCUAAACGUAAGUAUAAUUGUUCUUUAUUUAUUUGGCAAUAUGCAUGAUUUAUUGUUUUCAGAUAAAAGGCAAAAAAACAAAAGCUUUUAUAAAAUACAGUAAAUUUUAUUUAGAUUAUGUCAUUUACCAUCAUUUUUCUAAGACUUUUUAUGAUUAAUUUCAUAAAUUUUCAAACAUCUUUAAUUUCCGAAGGACUUAUUCUCAUCCAUUUUGUUCUUAGAGAUACCUUAUUCACAAGGUAUACAUAAAUUUCUACAAACAUUUUUUAAAAACUUAUAAAAACAACCCAAAAUAUAAAAAUAAUAAAUUAUUAAAUAAAAUAAGUAAUCUAUUAUUUUCGAAUAACUAAACAUAUCUAAAUUUUAGAAGGAUAUAAUUCACAUUAAGAACGAAUUUAUUAUAGGCACCUGCCCCUCACAUUAUCGAUUUUUUAUUUUAAUAUUAAUUUUGAAGGAUUAGAUUACAAUAUAUAUUAACUUUAUUUGACCUAAAUUCUGCUUAUGCUAUAAUGGUUGUGCCCCUAAAUCUUGUCUGUUACAAUUAUUUUUACAAAAUAGAUUUUAUUCCAAAUAUCAAUAAUUUUCUUUCCUCAAAAAUUAAAUUUCUUUCUAGAUUUUCAUAAAAUAAAUUUUAUUCAAAACAUCACUAAUUUUCUUUUCUCAAUCAUCAAUAAUUUUAUUUCCUCAAAUAUCCGAUUUAUUUCUAAAUUUGAAUGAUUUUCUAAAAGGGAGAUAAUUUGAUUUCUUAGAAGGAAAAUAAUUUGAUUUAAAAGAGAGAUAAUAUUUUAAAAAGAGAAAAAAACUGAUCUCGAAAAAAAUCUUAACCUAUUUCCAGUCUUUCUUUAUUACUACAAUUUCUGAAACGUUGAGAUAUCUUUUAAACCGUGUUUAUUUUACUGUGCUCGGUGCUCCCUGUAUAAAAUUUAUAGAUCCGCCACUAGUUCACAUAUUGGAAAUAUCUACACGGAUGCAAACUGAUACUCUAUUAUCGCCUACUUAAGAAUUAGUGGUUAAGAACCUGAAUAGCAAUAACUGCAGCACGAUCAUGAGAGACUGUCAAUACAGGAACAAGAGGAUGAAAAUCCGAAACUUCUCGAAAUCCGUUACCAGAAAGAUGAUCAAAAUCAUCGUCGGACUCCGCCACCGUCAUGGAAACCCCAUUACCUUCUACAAAUUCAAUGACAGGUACAUCGGAUUGCGAUGGCCAAACGAGGUUGCCAGCCAAAGGAAGAUGGUGACAAAGAGCGAGAGAAAGAGAGCUCUUGAGCUUCGAAACAAUGACAUCGUAAGACGAGAUCUGAUUGGAUGGAAAUUCGUAGAAAAAAAGACGUUGAAUUGGAUAAAACCUUAACCAGAACAAAUCAAAGAAAGUGAGGGGAAGAGAUAUGGGCGCUGCCGCUGUGGGAGGAGGGGAGACUUUGGAGACCUCAAUUACUUUCAGAGAAGGAAAGUUAGCCAUCGGAAAUAAUAGAAAAGUGAGAAGAUAAUGGGUUGGAUCCUUUCAAAUCUUUGGGGUCUUUUAAAGGUCCAAAAACGUUGAAAACAACAAACAAAUCAUGACGUAUUGGCUUUCGUCUUUUUUACUCCUUGAAAUUAUGAAAUGGAAAGUCUUCUAGAAUUUCAAAAAUAUCGCUCUAGCCUGUAGCCUGUAGCCUGUAGCCUGUAUAUAUCAUUAUGAACGAAUAAACCAAAAAUAUUUUUACUCUUUCUAGUACAAAUACUAAUAGAUUCUAAUUUUUCUAAAUUUUUUUAGAAUUUUUAUUAUUUAAAAUAAUUUUUUAUAACAUAUAGGUGUAUUUUCAAAUAUAGAAUACAAAUUAAAACUUUUAUAAAAAUAUAGCAAAAUUUUAAAUCCAUCGAAAUCAAACGAUAAAAUUUAAAAUUUUACUGAAUUUUGUAAAUAUUUUCAAGAGUUUUGUCUAACGUAAAUGUCUAUUACAUCUGAUUUUUAUUAUAAAAUAUAAAUAUUUAGUCGAUUUUUAUAAAUUAUACUUUUAAAAUACGUAUUUCAAAUGUAAUAUUAUACCUGUCCUUUCAAUUUCAAUUCAUAUUUAAUUGUCUUUAUAUAUCACAUAUUAACUAGUGUACGAUUAUUCAUUAAAUAUAAGAGAAAUGCAUUCAAUUAUUGUUUGAAAAAGUAAAACCAUUUAAAGAAUGAUAUUCACAUGGUGAGAAAUGCAUUAAAUAUACCAAAGUCAAUCUCAAUUCGGUAUAAAUUCCAAAUUUACUCUAUCUUGGUAUAAUUAAAAUCUUCAUGUCUUAUCAUUUUUCCUUUUCAAGUUGCAGGGUUAAAUUUGUAAUUUAAGCUUUAAUUUAUAUAUAAAAAAUGGUAAUGGAUAAAACUUUUGUUAAAUAAUUGGCUAAUCUACUAUUAGGGAAAUAAUUGGCUAAUCUUUGUUUUUCACUAGUUGGAAGGAAAAUCUUCUAGAAUUUCAAAAAUAUCAUCAUUUGUAAAAUACACCAACAUAAAUCAAAAUAUUUAUAAAAUAUAACAGAAUUUUAGAUGUAUCACUAUUGGUAUUGAAGACAAAAAAAGUCUAUUAGUGUCUAUCAUUGAUAUAAUCUAAAUUUUACUAUAUUUUGUAAGUAUUUUCAACUAUUUUGUCAUUUAAAAUAAUUUCUCCAAUAUAAAUGUCUACUACAUCUGAUUUUUGUCAUAAAAUAUAAAUAUUUUGACAACUUUUAUAAAUUAUACUUUUAAAUAUUCAUUUCAAAUGUAAUAUUAAAAGUCAUCUCUUUUGAAGUGUAUUAUUAAUGGUCUUUUAUCAAAUGAGUUUAAAUAAGAGAAAUUGUAAAAGAAAAGUAAAAUGGACAAACUAUUUACACUUUGUGACAAAAGUGUAAUGAGUUUGGGUUUUUUAGUGAUUUUUUUGCCACAGUGUAAAUUGUUUGUAUUUUUUUUUAGAAAAUGAUACUUGUAUGGUUGGUAGGCGAGGUCGAUACCCUUUUAGCUCCCUCAUCAUUCUCAAUAGUUUGUAUUUUUUUUUUAUUAAAUCUAUCAAAAUCGAACCUUAAUUUGUUUCUUCAGGAUAUUUAUGUAUUUAAAACUCAUAGAGAAGGAUUUUGUAAUGACUCAAACUCUUAAAUUAAGCUGAGGUUCUUACCUAAAAGAUAAAUAUCAAUUUUGGCACUUUCUUGUAAAGAGAAAAACUAAAUCUUUAUUAAAAUAAUUUUCAAACAACUGUUCAUAAAACAAAAUUUAGCGAAAUCUAUAAAAUUCCAUGAAAACAAACUCGAGCUAAUUUUAACUAAUUAAAGAAAAUAAAUAAAGAAAUAAAAUGUUUACAAUCGAAAAGACUAAAAAUUAAUAAAUGAAAAGCGAAAGCAAAAUUGAAUCCUUCCAUAUGGCAUGUCAUGGACCCUUACUGUCGUUGACCAACUUUUCAGAUCCUCUACCAUUGCCUGAAAUAUUAAAAAUAGAAAAAUGGCGAGUAUAUAAAAAUAUAGCCAGCAACGGAUCCACCUAUUGGCCCCUCUAAGUGAUCUAUUAACUUCUCAUUAGGAGAUCCCAUAAGGUAAUAAUAAUAUCGUUUGUCCCAUGGAGCACACGUGAGCAAGUGGUACCGUAGGAACACUUUUAGUCGUGCGAGUGAUCCAUAGGUACACCUCUAAUUGUGCGAGUGAUUUCGUCAAAACACCCUUAGGCAUGCAAGUGAUUCUGUUAAAACACACCUCUAGUCGUGCGAAUGACUCCAUUUGAACCCAAUACAACUGAUACUUAACCGUGCAUAUGAUAUUUAGGUACACGUUGUGCAAGUGAUCCCGUAGGAACGCCUCUAGUCGUGUGAGUGACCCCAAAGGUAGAAACACAAUACAUGUGGGGUAAAAGCCUAACAACCAAAAUUAACAAACAUCAUAGUCCAAAAACAUGUGACAAUCAACAUGAAUCAUCAGUCAUAGCAAUUCAUAAUCAUGCAAUUCAUAAAACAUCGAUAAUCACCAUAAUACACCAACUAUCAACAACAAAAUCUCGUUAUGUAUUUGUAGUUAUUAUCAAUACAUAAUCAUAAAAUACGUGCAGAGUCUUAAAUUUAGUUCGAAGGUUCAAUAGUAGAAUCUCUUACCUGAUAUUAGCUAAAAGUAUUCCUUUGCUGAUAGUAAUUUUUUUCAAUUAUAUUAAAACAGAUCCUAAAUAGUAAAUUUUUUUUCUCAUAUCCUUAAUUAAUAAAAUUUACCAAUGGCUAGCUAGCAUCUAAAAUUUUUCAACUUAACUUAUCCAAUAACUUAAGUAAGAUUGAAUCAAUUUAAGGUUGAUGGAAAAUUUUCACAAAUUAAUUCCUACAAAAGUUUCCAAUUAAGCCUUAAAAAAAAUCUACCAAUUAGAUUUGAAAUUAAUUUAUCUUUAAUUUAACUUUAAUGACUAAUGGGAAAAUUUUCGCAAAUUAAUCUUUCAAAAACUUCUAGAAGAAAAAGAAUCCAAAUUUUAAUACAAAAAUUAAUUUAUCAAAAGCUUUAACUUAUAUAUAUAUAACCCACAUUAAACAUAUCCAAUUAAUUAUUCUUUACAACUUUAGCCCAUUCCAAUUGGUAUGCUUUAGUAACGAUAGGCUAUAUAAUAAUUGACCAUCACAAACAUAUCACAUACUACGCAUAUAAUUGUAUUACUAUUAUCAUACAAUAAUCUAACCCUCAAUUGAGGAUCCAAUAGUAGAACCCUUAUAUUUGGUUAUGACAAGUUUCCUACGGCAGAUAAAACCACAAUUUCACCUAUGUAACCAAAUUAAAUUAACAAUUUUUGCCAACAAAUUAAUAAUUUCAUUAUCUUAGCUUAUAAAGUUAUCGAAAUAGAGAUCGAAAAAUCCUCUCAACCUUGAUAGAAAAAUUCACCACUUAAAUCUUCAAGCUUUGUGAAAGAGACCUUCCAAAUAAAAGUAACCAAAAUCAAUUGCAAUAAUAAACUUAAUUUAUUUGAUUAUGGAUAUUUGCAGCCUAAUUGUGCUUUCACCUUGAUAAACAUAAAUUAAUUAAAAGGAAUUCCUCUCUAAUUAAUACUAAAAUGUGUUUCUUCUCUAAUUAUUUUUGUUGGAAGAAUGAUUCUAACAAUUCUUUCAAACUGUUUGUUGCGAUGUAGUCUUAAUGUCGAGUAGCUAACAUGUUCAUUUAUUUAAUUUUAAUAAUUAAAUAGGUUUGAAUUCGUCACUAACUAUAUUAAAGUGUGAUUGGUCAUCUAAAAAUUUUUUUAAAAAAAUUGUCUAAAAUUCAUGAGAUUUAAGUUCGGGAGUCUUUAGGAACGUGUUAGCACCCUACAGCACCCAUAAAAAUGAUUACCAAAAUUUAUCUCUUAAACUAAAUUAAAAUGGUUCACAAAACAAGGUUUUUUUAUUUAUCUUUUUAAAUGUCUCAUGGUUCUCAAUUCACACCGAAAAAAAUAAAACCUAAGCAAUAAUUAAUAAUUAUGAGUGUCAUAAGAGCAAUUAGAAAAAUGAAGUUUAUUUUUUGUUUCAAAAUAUGAUUUUAUUUUAUUAUUAUUCACCUUAAAAAUAUUAAAAUAUCAAACUUUAAUAUUUUAAUCUUCAUAAUAAGUAAAAAUAUGAUUUUAUUUUAUUAUUAUUCACCUUAAGAAUAUUAAAAUAUCAAACUUUAAUAUUUUAAUCUUCAUAAUAAGUGUUUAAUGAGAAAUUUCAUGUACAUAAAAUUAAUAAAUUCAUAGAAAACAAUACUUAGCCUCAUUUAAAAUAUGAAAUUGUUUAUAAUUUUAAAGAUAACUUAUUAAUUAAAUUUCAACCCGAGAAAUAGAAAUUUCAUAUAUUCUUGAUAUUUAAGUUAUAAAACCCAUAAAAAACAUUACAUAUUUAAAUUUUUAUAUUCAUAUUAGAAAAUAAAUAAAUAAAUAAUAAUAAUAGUAGCAAUAUAAUGUGAAAUUGAGAAAUACAGGUUGUGAAAUAGUUGUAAAAUAAUAUAGGUGUGAAAUAGUUGCACGAAAACUGUGAAAUAAAAUAAUAUGCACGAAGGCUGCGAAAUAAAAUAAUAUACAGAGAGACGGUUGUCACACCCCAAAUCGUACUAUGACCUUGGGUAGAGUCACUCGAAAAUUAAAGAAAUUUGACAAAUAAAUGUUUAAUCAUUACUCUUGCAAUUCUCUUGAAAAUGUAGGUAAAUCUACAACAUCUCAAUUGUUAAGCUCGAAAUCAAGUGGACAUGCAUAGACUGUGUCCCCUUCAAAUGAUGCUUCUUAUGUCAUUGUUGUAAUUGAGAAACUCUCCAUCUUUGUUAACAAACAGUACUUUGAAUCAGAAUCAUGUGAUGAGUGACUUAUACCAGCACUCUUGAAAGUAUCAUAUAAUGUUGGUAUAAAUUUUAGACUUGGGAUCAAACUCCCUCAUCUCUAGCUUUGUCGAACGCUUUUUCUUAUUUUCUUCUUCAAGCCUAAUCUUAUCAUAUACGAAUGACAUUUAGCUCAAAUCAAACAUCUCAUCAUUGCUCGAUGUGUUUAGAAGUGUUUCUAAGUUUGAUUCAAACAAUAUCUUCCACUUCUCAUCACCCUAGUGAUCAUAACUUCCACUUUAGGCCCAUGUGACUUUAUUACUUCAUUUAUAGCUGCUUUCAUUAUAGUUGCAUGAACAAUUUUAAAAGAGCAAAAAUAGUAUUCUAAUGCUUCCUCUGUCGCCUCAACAUAUGGGGUUGAUACCGAUUUUGUUAUCAGAAAUUUUCCUCUCCCAUCAAACAAAUCACCUACUCAACAAUAAAUUUCAAUUUUGAUGCAAUGUGGAUGACAUCACCCCUACAGAGUGAAUCCAAGGACGUCCUAAUAAAAAACUGUAAGUAUGUGUUAUUUCCAUUACUUGAAAGACUAUAUUGAAAGUACAUAAGUCAAACUUGAUUGGUAAUUCAAUGUCACCCAUUACAUCUCUACGUGACCCAUCAAAAGCUCUCACAACCAUAGUGCUUGAUUUUAUGUGUGACAUGUCCAUUGCAAGCUUGAAUAGUGUAGAUUUAGGCAUUGCAUUAAGAGAUGAACCACUAUCCACUAAAACUCUUGCUAUUGCAUAGUCUUUGCACUUUACUUGUGUUGGAAUUUAUAUCCUAAAACUCGUAGAUUGUACAUAUAACUCAUUGACCGUUAUUAAGAAAGUGUUAUUUUUAUAAUUGCAAUAAAUAUUAUUGAUUAUAUUAAUAGUUUUGUCUUAAUAACCCAAAUCCAAUAAACUAACAUCCUAAGAUGUUUGAUGAGUCUUGAACAGUAUGUAGAGACAUAUAGAAAUCAAUGUUCGAGAUCAGCUUAAAGGGUCUAUAGUAUAAGGAUAAGAUUGGGUACCUUAUCUUGGUAACACUAUGGAUACGACUCACUUUGUAUUUGAUACAAAUGCAAUGAUUUCAUUUGUGUAGUUGAUAUGCAAGUGAAGGUAUCUUGCAACGGAUUUGCAUAAGACCAGACCAUAAAAUAGUAACCACUAGUUAUAACUCCGUUUACUAGUUAGGUUUCUAUUUCAUUAGGAUGACCUAGUUAACUUAGUCUUAAUCAUGAGUGUAUUAUGAACUCUUGUUCGCGAGAGAUUGUUCUUUGUUUUGUACAAAUGAGAGUGACCAAAUUUCCGACUCAAUAAUCUUAUUAUUUUGGGGACAAGAUCGAGUGGAGAGUUGGAAACAUAAUUUACGCAAGAUGAAAUUCACUCAUUUUCUACUUUAGGGUACGUAGAUGGUCCCUUAAAUGGUGUUUUUGGGACUUGAACAAAUGACCUUACCCUCUCUAUGAUACAAGAGAAAUUUAUGUUUAUUGGUUGGACCAUAAACAUGUUGUUCAUUAGAGAAGCACAUGUACUUAAAUAUUAGAGGUAACCCAAGGAUCAAAUGGUAAGUUGAUCUAGCUGGUAUUACAAACACUCGUGAAUAACUAACUUACUGUUAUUGGUCGAUAUCCGUGGACACAGAAAUAUAUCUACAGUGAGAAGAGUUCAGCUAUGAGUCUUUGGUGGAAUGUACACACAGUUAACGAAUAUUGAUUAAUGUAGUUAAUGAGUUUAGCCAAUUAAUCUCAGAUUGUUGUAGCUUCUGAUCUAUAGGUUCAUUAGAUCCCCUAGCCUCUAAAGGGUAAUGAGAUUUAUUUAUGUUGGUUGUAAUUUGAAAUGUUCAAAAUUACUUUGAAAAUUAGUUUAAUGUAUAGUGAUACAUUAUAAUAUAAAGGUUGUCAAAUUUUUUUAUAUAAAUUUAAUUUUGGAUAUGAUUCAAAAUUAGUUUAUGAUAAAAUAUUUGAAUGAGUUCAAAUAUUAAUUUAAUAUGAAUUGAAUUCAUAUUAAAUUAUCUGUUAUGAUAUAAAUUUAUAUUUGAAUAUGAUUCAAAUUUAAUUUAGCUAUUAAUUAAUUAAUAGUUAUUUUUAUUUUAUUUAAUUAAAAUAAUAUAAAACUAUAAGAUAUCGGAGAGAUAUUCAUUAAAUAAGAUUUAAAUAAAAUAUUAAUUAAAUAUGAUAUAAUUAAUUAUUAACUAAUUGAUUAAGGGUUAAUUAGUUAAUAGAUUUAAAAUUUUUAUUGAUUUAAAAUUUUUAAAUUAAUAGAAUCACAAGAUUAUCUCCUAGUCCCUGAAGAAAAGAGAGUUAUAAAUAUGCGAAGGAAAAUUGUUUUUUGGUAAAAGAGUUUCUCUAAACAAUCUCUAAAUUUUUUCACAUACCAAUUGGUUCUCACAAACCAAUCUUAUCCUAGAGGAUAAGAAGGUCACCGACGGAUAGUGUCCCAAUUUGGAGAUUUAUUUUGUAGAUUCAGAGACGUCAAACAAGUAAAUUUUUCUCUCUCUAAUCUAUAAUUAGAAAACAUACUUAGCCUUUAAGUCUUAAUAAAAAAUUUUGUUUCUAUAUCAUUUUGCCAAUGUACUGAUAUUUUAGAAUUUCCAAAUUAAAUUGAGGAAUGAUUUUGUAAAAUCCUCCGUUGUCAUGGACUUUUAUCCCUUCAACUUGAAUAUGCAAUGCUUUUGUAUGACUUAAACCUUCAAGAGGAAAGUCAUCAUCCGUGAAGACUAUGAAAUUUGAAGACGUAAUGUUUCCAAUAAUGUUGUUAAACUUUUUCAUUCAAAUGUCAUGUCCAACUUGUGUCUUGUUCAAAAUAUCUAAUAGCACUUUGCGAUGAGACUCUGAAUUAAAAAACAAAGAUAAUAAAGAAAUUCGAGCUGGAGUAUGAUGCAUUUCCUCUAUGAUCUUAUACUUAUAUACUUUGUUUUACUAUUUUCAAGAAUUUAUUUGCUUCCUCAUCCGUAAUAGGCUUCUUGUAUUCUACAUCUUUUGCUAUUGAUAGAUAUCUCUACAUCUUGCUCUUUGCAAUGUUCAUUCACAUUUCUUCUCUAAUUUUUCCUCUAUUGCCCCAUUAUAAAACUACUUGAAGGAGCUAUUAAAUUAUCUAGUUUGUAACAUCUUCCACUUUGAGUUAUCUCGAUGAUUUCUGUAAGAUUAUAAACUGAAGGACCUGUAUUAAUGACAACUUGAAAAUCAUAUCGUCAUGACACUGCUUUCACAUUCUUAAACUUGAAAGGACUCGGUACUGGAUCGUGGGUUAUUUAGGAUUGUAGGAAGUUGACUCAUUACGACUUUCUUGAUAAAAGACCGUCAAAGGCCUUGGUAAAAAGGAUUUUUCCUUUUUUGCAACUUCAUCCAUUGAUGCACAUAUUUUAUUGUCUUUUAUCUCAUCAUUUCCUUGUCCUCUGUAUGAGUAUAUUUGAAUCCAUAAGUUGUUGUACUUUAGAUCUGAAUUUACAACACAGUUAGACAACGUGACUUGCAACUCUUUGAUGAAAUAUACAAUGUAUGUUUCCAUCGUAUCCUUCAUUUCUUAUGUUGGGGUCUAAAUAUUCCUGACUAACAUAUCCUGCUUCAAAAAGUGUUUUCAUAGACGUCACUAUCUCAUGAACUUUAUUUUUACACUUUUCAACAAGGCAAUCUACAACGUUCACUUUGAAUUUUCAUGAUUAGGCAGUGGAUUGUUGUUGACAUCCGGCUUCAACCAACUUUUUUGAAGCUUAACCAUCUAACAUUAAUUAAAGAUUGCACCUUUCUUUUAAAGGCCAAACAAUUUUCAGUUGAGUGUCAUGCUCCACCAGCAUGAUAAUCACAUCUAGCAUUUGAAUCAUACUAUUUUGGAUAAGGAGGUUGUAUAUGAUUCAUUGGAAUAAGAGCUAACUAUGGAUUUUGAAUUAGCUAGGGUAAAAACUCUGUAUAAGUCAUGGAAAUUGAAUCAAAAUCGCCAUGUAUCAGAGUUGGUCUUCCUACCAUGACCUUAUACAAAUGGUCGAUGAGAGUUUGAGUUAACAGGUUUUGGGGUUCCAAAGAAAGAGUGAGCUGGUACAUAGUUGUUAUAAGGGAUAUGAGAAACAUUGCUUAUAUAUGAAGAGAAAUUUUGGUCAUGUUUUCUUUGGCCAAAAAUCGAUUUGUGGUUCCCUAAAUUAGAAAACCCAAUUGCAUGAACCUCUCCUUCUUUCUUCUUAAAUGUUGUUCCUUUCUUUAAAUCCUCAUACUCAAUUGAAGCCUCUACUAACCUCCUAUGCUUUAUCUCAUAUUCAAUUCUUUCACCAAUAACAAUAAUGUCAGAAAAAUUGGUUGUAGUAUUACCAAUCCUUUGAUCAUAAAACAGAGCCCACAAAGUACUCAUAAACAUAGAUGUCAUUUCUUUGUCCGUUAAUGGUGGUUGAACCUCUGUAACCAUAUCUCUCCAUCAUUGAGCAUAUUCUUUAGAACUUUCUAAACUCUUCUUCUCCAUCCAUUGUAGGUCUAAACGAUCUGGUGCCAUAUUCAUAUCAUGUUUGUAUUGCUUUAGAAAUGCAUAAGCUAAGUCCUUUCAAACAUGAAUGUGUGCAUUAUCUAAUUGAAUAUACCAUCGAGUCAUUGGACCAAUCAAAUUGUCCUGAAAACAAUGGAUCAAUAAUUUAUCAUUACCAAUAUGCGCUGCCAUCUUUCUAUAGUACAUUAUAAGAUGACUCCUUGGACACUAUGAUCCAUCAUAUUUGUUAAAUUUAGGAACUUUAAACUUUGCUGGAAUUAUCAAAUCUGGCACCAAACACAAUUGUGUUGCAUCUAUAUUCUCAUAAAUGUCAAUCCCUUCAACAUUUCAAUUGCUUGCAACCUUUCUUCCAAAACAUCUAGUUUUUGCUUAGCCGGAGUGUUCUCAUUUUGUCCCAUGUCUUGAAUUUUAGUCUGAGCUUCCAAUUGUUAUAUUUCUGGAAUAGGAGGUGGAAUAGCAAAAAGCGAAUUCAUAUCAAUAUAGUAUUGCAUGGGUAAAUCUUGGAGGAUAAAUGGGAUCAUCGGUGUCUUGAACUCGAUUGCUUGAUUGUGUUGUAUCUACAACGACUUUCUCUUUUUUUUUAUUGAAAGCAAUUCCAGUAUUUUUGAAACUUGUUCCUCAAGCUUAUUAAUCUCUUAUCUCAUUUUAUCCAUGUCUUUAUCUUGUUCUUCCAUGAUUCGAUUUUUAUGCCUCAUAUGGUAAGGAUGUUGAAUUGAAGUAGGACGAGUGAUGUUUUCAUUUGAUGAUUUUGAAAACUUUAAAAACCAAAGAGAAAGGGAGAAAGAGAGAGAGAAAAUUUAUUAAAUAAUGAAUUCAAAUACAUUAAAGCCAAACAAAAUAUAAACCUGACAGAAUAAAAAUCAAACUAAAACAAAAAACAAACAAAAUGUAAUGAACACUCUCAUUUGUCAUUAAUUGCAAAAUAAGCAAUUAAUGAAAACGAUCAAAAUGCCCAAGUCCUCUACAUAUCAUCUUCAAAAUCCUAUUCAGAUCAUCUGCAUGAGGUUGCAUUGAGAAAAAAUUAAUCCUUAAAUUAGCUGCCCAUUCUGUAAAACUAUUUGCUCUUCUAGACAUUAUUUUGAGAAAUUUAAUCGUCUAAUCUACACAUUCAACUAACACCUGGAAAUCUUUUCUUUGCAAAAUCACAAUCAACCUUCACUUGCAUGUAAUCUGUCUUUAAUAAUUCGUAUUCUUGUACUAUCCCCUCACUUGAAUUUUGAAAUGCAAUAAGUUGAUAGUGUAAGGAAUCAACAUAAUUUUUCAGUAUUUUAUACUUUUCAGAGUACUCAACUAUCUUCACAUGUGGGUUAUCAUUUGUUUGAUGUAUAGAGUGAUUGUGUGCUUCCAAAUCUACUAUAUGUGCUUCCUGUUUUCCAAAUGAUGUAUUCAAAUCAUUGACAACUCGAGAAAAUAUCCUUCUCAAUUUCUAAAUCUUUAAUAUAUUCAUCUUGCGAUUCUAUUGUUGCCUGUAAUGUUGUCUUUUCAUUUUUCAAGCUUCUAUUUGCUUUACUCAUUUGCCUAAUCUCUUUAUCUAACACCUCAAAAUUCUUUUUUAACUUAUCUUGAUUUCUUAAGAAACUCUUGGUCUUUUCGAGCUCUUUCUACAAAAAAGUCACAUGAUCACUCAAUUGACUUGUCUCUUUACGAAGUUUCUCAUUCUCUUGCUCUAACAGUUGAUUUUUCUCUUAUAAUUUUAUGCUCUUCUCAGCCCACUAGUUUGAUUGUUCAAAGCUUGUCUCUUAUACCCUUUCAAUUGAUGGAAACGAUAGACAUGCGCAGCAAAAUAAAGAUCGAAUUUUACUCUAAUUGCAACUAAACAAGUUUAGUAAUUAACAUGCAUAAAAAUAAAACCCUAAAAUAACAUAGAUAGGGUUAAAAGAAAAACUUACCUUUGAAGUUUUUCUUCUCUUGUAUUCUCUUCACGAAUUUGAAGUCAGCACAACCACUAGAGUUUACCUCCUAUUCUUCGGACUUGGAACCGAGUUGUGGGACUAAAAAAUGGUGGAGGAAAUAGAGAGAGAUUGAUGAUAUCCUUUUGAUGAAAAAAUCUCAAAUGAAAAGAGUUCUUGGUCUUAUUUUGUAAUUCUCAAUUACAAAAUUAAUUUUCAAUUUCAAAUCCAAGAGUCCUUUCACAUUUGCAUAAAACUUGUUUACAAACAAACUACAUGCAAGAGCUUCCGUAUCUCACCACUUGACAUUCUUAGUGGGGUAGGUGUCUUACAUGCAAUAAGCCACUUGCAUACCACAUGCAAGUGAUAAGCUUGUCAAAUCUCAACCAAUGUUAUUAUUUAAAUUAGUUUAAGGUCAAUAUGGUAAUUCAACAUUUAAAUCAAAUUCAAAGUUUGACUUUUUCAAGUCCAAAAUCAACAUUUUAUCCGUCUUGACUAAUUUCAACCUCCCAAGCAUGAAUCCGUAUUCAUUUCUCCAAAAUUCAAAUCACAUUUGAAUAUAAAGUUAGUCAAAUUUUGAUUUUUCAAAGUCAAAAGUCAACAUUUUAACUUUUUACAUCUUUGACCUUUUUCAUCAAUUCUAAGCUUCCAAAUAUGAAUCCAUAUUCAUAUUUAAAUCACAUUUAAACAUGAAGCUCUAUCUUAAGUUAUAACUUAUAACUGUAUCAAAUAUAUUUGUCGGUUUCUCUCUAUUUACCUAAUUCAAACAAUUCAAAUUAUUCCAUCAUAAUGUUCUAAGUUGAUUCCUUAUGAACUAGCGGGGGAACCUAAUGAACCUAUAGAUCAUAGACUCCAACGUUCAGAGAUUAACUGACUAAACUCUUUAGACUGAGUUAAUCAAUCUUCGUUAACUAACGGGUCAUUAUACUAAAAUCCCGUAGUUGCACUCCCCUGACUAUAGAUAUAUUUGUGUCCAUGUGAUAUGACCAUGAUAAGUAAGUUAAUCCUUCAUAGGUUGUUCAUAAUCUCGACUGGGUCAAAGUACCAUUUUACCCCUGAUAUUAUAUAUUUUCUCCUUAAGUCCCACUGAUCCACUAUUGAACAAUUGGUUUAAGGUCCAACCUUUAAACCGAAUCCCUCUCGGGCCAAUGAGAGGGUGGGACCCCUUGUUCAAGACCUAGAUUUAGUUCUUAAGGAAACAACCUAUCUACUAACCCUAAAGUGGGUAGGAGUGAAUUCCAUCUUGCACCCUAUGUCCUUAGCUAUCCACCCAAUGUUACCCUUGAAAUGAGAGGCUUAUUGGGCCAGCACUAUUGAGUUGCCCUCACCUAUGCAGAUCUAUGAAUAAUCUCGUGUGAACGUAAUUUUAUAGUUAGCUUAGGAUUAAGAUUAAGUUACAUUGGAUAUCUAUAAACGAAAUAGUCAGUUUUACAAAGUUAACGGUUUUAUAACUUAAAAAUGACUAUUUCAUGGUUCCAAUCUUAUGUAAACUCUUUACAUAGGAUGCCCCAACUUUCAUGUCUCUACAUGAACGAUUCAGGAUCAUAUCGUUUAUACUAACUACAAAGUAGGCCGCAUCCAUAGUGUCCUCAAAAUAAGGUGCCCAAUCGUAUUCGUAUACUAUAGACGGUUUAGGCUAUAUACUCAAACUUGGUCCACAUUUAUGUCUCUACAUAAGGUUCAAGUUUACUCUAUUAUAGCAUUGAGACCUUAGUUUAUUGGCUUUAAGAUUAUAGUAUCAAUAACGACUUAUUGAAUAGAAUAUGAUUAUAAACCACGAGUUUUGGGACAUAAAUUUCAACAUCAACUACAUCCCUUAAGGUAUCUAUUACAUUUUUCCUUUUGUUUGCUUGCCAUGCCUCGUAUUCACUGGUAACUCCUUCAUAGUAUCAUUUUCCUUUUAUCUUCCUCACAGACUUCCAUGCACAUACUACUCGAUAUUUUUUUCUUGACAAUCUUCAAGAUCGUAUGAAAAGUCAGAGUCCUGUAGAUUAUGAGUUGGUGGUAUAAACUGUUUGAGCCACACUUGACACAAAACUAACAAUGGUGUAGAGUUAACACCUUCUUGUGGUCCCAACAAAGGCACACUAUGAAAAUCUCCACAUCUAUAAAUCAUCGCCUUCAAAGGCAUCCAUUGAGCCUUCCAUAUGACAUUUUCAAAACUCAUUGUUGAAAAGAAAGACACCCAACCCAAGUCUCCAUCCUUAGAUAUGUUGGGUCCCAAACUGCCAUACCAAACUCACUAACAACGUUCCACAAUAAAUUUCAUGAUCUACUAAAAUCUAUCCUUGGACGCCUAAACUCUGCUAGAAAUUUAAUAUGGUUGUGUAUCCAAAUAUAUAAUAAAAGGACACAACAAUUCAAUUUUUCUUCCCAUUUAUUUCUACAAUAGGUAAGAGAUUGAAAAGUUUAAGCCAAUAUAGGUAUAAUAGGAUCAACUCCUCGUUCUAUUUUAAAAAAUAAUCUGAUCACUUUCUCAUAAACAUAACCCUAUACUUUAGGAAAAAUCACCGCUCCAUAAAUGCACAACGCUAAGAGAGUAAAACAUUUGUCUUGAUCAAUGUAAGUUUGUGCCAUCUUUAUUAAAUAGUCAAACGACACAUUCUCCUCCAAACCCUGAACUUUUACAUGCUUUUGAAUUUCUGUGGCAUGGACGGUUUCUAAAAACUUUGAUAAAGUCCUAUUUGUUAUUUGCUUAGGGUUAAAGAAAUUAAUAAUAAUUUCCCUUUUUUUUUCAGGCAUGCUAAGCAUAGCGUGAUAUUCUUCUAUAGUUGACAAUAAAUCACACAACCCAAACGUGAAACAACCGUAUCUGGAUUCAAAUAUUAAUUAUGACUCUUAAAGCAAAAUAAUUCACCGGUAUGUACAUCAACUCUACUGUAUGUCCAUACUUCUUUGAAAACAUGAAUCUUCGUUGAGGUGUCAAUGCCUCCCAGAUCAUCUUUAGUUUCGCUAAAUCAUUUUGUGUAGAAGAGAGCUGACACAUGGAUAGUACUAAUACUUGAGAAGAACUGUUUAUGCUAUCCUAAAUUUUUGUUGCAUCUCUUUAGUCCAUUUCAGAACAUUGCUUGACUCAUCAAACUUAGAUUCAAAAGGUGAAUGCAUCGACAUAUUAGACAACUUGGCAUUUCAAUACUAUUACUUUUUUGCACAAUUAUGAUAAAAAAAGACAAAAAUAAAAACAUAUAGUCAAUUCACUUCACACAAAAAAGUAAAAAAUAAAAAGAAAAAGAAAAAAAGAAAAAAAAAGAGUAAAUAAGGUUUUGAUGCACUUGUAAACACUACUCUUCUUAUUAUUUUUUAAACAAAUAUUUAAUUUUAGAAAAUGUAAAUGUUUUCAUGCACUUAGAAGCACUACUCUUCUUAUUAUUUUUUUAAAAAAUUAUUUAAUUUUAGAAAAUGAAAAGUUUUCAUGCACCUCUACCAUGUAAACACUCUUUUCCUCAUUUUUUUUUUUUUUUAAAAGUCAUUUAAUUUUACAAAAAGAAAAGUUUUCAUGCACCUGUUCAAGGUAGACGCUACUCUCCUUAUUGUUUUUUAAAAAUAUUUAUUUAAUUUGAAAAAAAAUGUAAAGGUUUUCAUGUACCUCUACAAGGUAAAUAUUAUAAUGUUAUUCCCUUAUUAUAAUGUUAUUUAAAAAGGGUUGGUAUCAUUUAAACUUCUAGAAGGGAAAUGCCCUCAAACUUAUUAUAAUGUUAUUUAAGAAAUAACAAAAGAAUUAAUCUGAUCGAGGAUCUUUCAUGUGAUUGUAUAAAAGUCGAAACCCCUCGAAGGUCAACACUACUCCCUCCUCAAUUCUAGUCCUAUAAGGUUGUAGCCCGAGUAGAGGGCUUGUGAAUGUGUAAAAUGCAUGAUGAUAUAUAUAUAAAAAAACAGACCAAUAACAUAGUACAAAUUAAUAUUCCAUAUGAAUCAAAUCAAAAAACAAAUAAUUAAGUGAACCAACAAAUCAUAAUAGACUAAGAAUAAAGGAUAAAAAUAUAACGAUUUGUCUCUCUUAAACACUUUUUAAGUCCACAAUGGAAUCGUCAAGUUGUUGCGACUUGGUUGCAAUGCGCCAAUGUUCUCGUUUAUUUAAUUUUAAUAAAUAAAUAGGUUUGGAGCCACCACCAACUAAGGUGUGAUUGGUCACCCAAAAAUAAAAAUGGUCUACCCAAAUUCAUGAGAUGUAACUUCGAGAGUCAGUUAAGUGUAGGAAAUGUGUUAGCACCCUACAACACCCAUUAAAAUGAUUACCAAAAUUUAUCUUUUAAACUAAAUUAAAAAGGUUCACAAAACAAAAAUUUUUAUUUUGUUUUUUUAAAUGUCUCAUUGUUCUCAAUUCACGUGAAAGAAAAUAAAACCUAAACCUUAAUUGAUAAUUAUGGGUGACAUAAGAGUCAUUAGAAAAAUAAAUUUUAUUUUUUUAUUUUAAAAGAUUAUUUUUUCAUUUAUUGACCUCAAGAAUAUUAAAAUAUCAAACUUUGAUAUUUUAUUAUCCAUUAUAGGUGUCUAAUGAGAAAUUCCAUGUAUCUAAGAAUUAAUAAAUUCAUAAAAAACACUACUCAGUUCUCAUUUAAAAUUCUCAUUUAAAAUAUAAAAUUAUUUAUGAUUUUAAAGAUAAUUUAUUAAUUAAAUUUCAAAUGAAGAAACUUAAUCAUGAAAUUUAAGUUAUAAAACCCAUAAAAAAUAUUGCUUCUUCACUAAUUUAAAAUAAUAUGUAGUGAGUCUGUGAAAUAAAAUAAUAUGUAGGGAGAGAAAUAAAAUAAUAUGAAAGGAGGUUGCGAAAUAAAAUAAUAUAUAGGGAAUCUCGGUGUGAAAUAAAAUAAUUAUAUGCAGACAUGUUGUGACAAAAAAUAGUAUAGUGAGAUAAAUAACCGCAAAUAAAGAACACAAGCAAACAAAUAAAUAAUGCAUGAUGCCAAAUAAAUAAUGCACGAUGCCAAACAAUAAAUUUGAACUCAUGAUACUUAAAUUGACCUAAAUCUAAAAAACCGUUGAACCACGUAAUAAGUCUGGCAUAAAUAAAUUUAAAAUCACAAUGCCCAAAUAAAAUUAAUAUGAAAAGUAGGUAGUAAUGUAUGAAUCAUUUAAUUGGGAGAAGAAGUGAAAAAUAGCACAAAGUUUCUUCCUAUCUUCUCAACCCUCCCAAUUGACAACUAAUGGAAACAAUUUUCUUUUGCACCUCUCGCAACAAAAUCUUCCCCUCUAUUUUUUAUAGGGGAUAAGGUGAUAGUUUUUUAGAGAGAAGGAAGUGAGUCAAAGGCAGAGGAAGUGUUGAUGGAAAAAAAGAUCGAGAGAAAAUGGAGAGUAGUGCAUAUUGAGAGUGGUUAAGGAAAAAUAGGAAGAAGGUAACGUGAGAUUUUUCCUAUAUUUUUUCUUUUUUCAUUUUAAAAUAAUUCAAAUUCAUAUUUCUUUUAACAAAAUAUAAUAAAAUAAAUUAAAGUAAAUAAAUGAAUCUAAAGAAAAUGAAGGACAAAAUAUGUUUCCUUUAAAAUUAUUAUUGUAAGCCACUCCUUCCAAUUAAGCAUUUAUUGUUCUAACUUAUUGAGUUUUCUCUUCCUUAAUGCCUUUGAUUCAAUAUAUGAUAAGACAACUCCAAUAAAGUCAUGGUAUGAUAGGUAGUCCCUUGUUAGAAGUAUACCACACACUCCUCGUGGUGGAUCGUGACAAUGCCCACAACCUUACAAAAUGUUUUAAAGUUGUUGACGUUAGAGGAGUUUUCUUUUUAUUACAUUAUGUGUUUCGUAUCAUUAUUAUUUCAUUUAUUCCAUUAUGUAAAAAAAUGAUUUACAUAAAAUGUGAACGUGAAAUCAAAUUUCAUUACGAUCACACAACAUAUGCAGCCCAGACAAUAAACUUAAUCGUAAAAAAGCUGCAUUUACAUGAUUCUAUUGUUUUUCAUACUAUAACUAUCUUUUUUUUUCAUAUAAAUAUUUAAAUUUUUAGUUAAAUUCUAUAUUUUUUUAACUACUUUUUUUAGUUAACUCGAGUGUUUGAAACAUGGAUAAUAAAACAAAUAAAUCUUCUUAACAAAAAUAGCGUUUACCAAACUUAAGUUCUAAAACCAAAUUAAAAGGUUUAUAGUCCAUGACUACACACAAAUUAACUAUAAACAACUGAUGUUAAAAUUUAUUAAAUAAGACAUACAUAAAAGUCCCAUAUAGUCCCAUAUAGCUAAAAUGAAAAAAGUCAUAUAAACUACACAUGGAUAAAAUUGGAAUAGUAAAAACCUUUGGAAACAAUUAUCCGUAUGAUGAUCAUUUCAAAUAGAUUCAAAGCCUUGAUUAAAUAUAGCAACAAAAGCUUCCAUUUCAUCCCUUUCCUUAACAACACCAAUCUCCAUUACCGCAUCACUAUUUCUACUAUCAGUCAAAGAAAAAAAAUAUGGUGAUUCAGCUGACACAAUCUCCACUUUCUUUGGCUUUCCAAAUCCAAAAUCAGCGUUAUAAACUCCAAAUCUUGGUGAACCAGCUAGAGAAAUGGCUUGUGUUUCUGAAUAAUCAUAUGUCAGUUGGCUCAUUAUUGACCCCCAAUUCUCACACCCAUUUAAAGCUCCACCAUCCAAAUUUCUAAUAGCUUUUGAAAUCUCAUCACAAGCGAAAAUUAUUCCAUUUUCCCUCAAAAGCUCAAACCUUUCAAGACGAACAAAUCCAGCAACCAAACAAUUCCCAAAGUAAUUCAAUGGCACUUGUGGCUUUAAACGAAUUCUGGCAUCAGCUGCAAACACAAACCAUAAUUCUCCUUCUUUUAAACCUUCUAAUUUGGCUGUACAAACACAAAGAUAAGCUGUUGCUAUUGCAAAUGAAGAUAUGUCAGAAGAAGAAGAAUCAAAAUUUUCGUUUUUGAUCUUCUUGUUCAAGAUCCAUUCAUUUAGCUUUUGAAUGUUUUGGUGUGUGAAUUCUAAAGUGCUUCUAAUUAAACCAGGUAUUGUUUUGGGGAAUUUAAGGUUUAAGCUUCUGUUGUUGGGUCCUUCUAUGUCUUGCCAUGCCUUUGCAUAGAGUUUUGCAAAAUCUUUUGGAUCAUUUAUAAUUGAUCUAUCAUAUAAUGGCAUUUGCUCCGAGAUUGGUACAGAGGAUUCUUCAAUGCACAUUUGAGCCCAUGAUUUGAUAAAUGAAGUUGAGCUUCUUCCAUCUAAGAUUGCAUGGUGAUGGGUUAUUCCAAUGGAAAAACCUUCGUUUUGAAAUUUAGUUACCUAUAUUAAGAAUAUAAAUAAUUUAUAUAUUGUAUAUAUGCAAAUAUAGCAAUCACCUUUAAAUAGUUAUAUAUAUAAUACAAUACAAUGCAAAAUAAGUUUUAUAUAUAUAACAAAAUAUUGGAAUAUUCAAUCAUUAAUAAUAGUCUAUCACUAAUAUUGAAAAUAUAAAUGAUUAAGUAAUUGGUAGAGUUACAAGUAUUUCAAGAUAUAUCGUUAAUAAAAAAAUUCUAUUACAAUAGUGUCUAUCAGGUAUGAAUAUUUUGCUGUACUUCUAACUCUUUAACCAUGGUUAACUUAUUUGGCCAUAAAAGAUAUUUAUUAUAAUAAUUCUUAUAAUUACCCGUAAUUAAAUAAUACCUUAAUGGGUUAGUACUUAACCAUGCAUUAUUGAAGUCUUUAAUGCAGUACGUUAUUUUUCCUUUCAAUUCAGUCCUUUAAAAAAGUUUCAAUUUAGUAUUUUUCUUUUUGUUUGUUUCUCAAUUUAGUCUAUGAUGAUUAGUGAAUAAUGUCAAGAAAACUUUUAAAAAGAAAAGAAAAAGUAGUAAUUUCAACUAAUUUCGUAGAAUCAAAUAGGGAGAAGAAUUUAGAAACUUUCCCUUUUUAAUGACUUUUUUUUUUCUUUUAAAUGCCUUUGUACCAAUGUUCUAAUAAAUAAUGUCACUAAUAUUUAUAUAAUUUAAAUAAUAGUUUUUUUCAACUUAUUUGAAAAUAAUGUUUACUAAUUUUGGUGUUUCUGAGUGGUAGGUUUUUAUAACUUUUUCACACAUAUCCAAGCACCCAAUAAAAAUGUGGCACGUGACAUUUUUUUAAAAAAAUAAAAUGAUCGAUGAGUGUAAAAAAGAGUGAGAGUAUUCAAUUAAUCGCACCUAUUUAUUCAUAUACACGUAAUUUCUCGAAAGUAUAUUCUCUAAAAUUAAAAUACAUUAAACACAAUGAAUGAAAUCGAGAACUUUUAAAAGACGUUUAGAUCAGGGAGUUUGUUAUUAUAAUCUUAAAUUAUGAUAGUUCAAUUAUAAUAGUUUACAACCUAGGUGUAGAUUAUAAUUUUAGUCUGGUUUGAACUAUAAUGUUAACAAUAGUAAAUAUUACAUAAAAGAAUUUUAAUGAUUUACUUAAAAAAAACUAUAGAGAUGGACAAGUUUUAUAUUAUUUUGUGGGAAUGAGGCAUAACAUCUUUUCACCAUAUUUGGUGUAAGUUUUCAAUCUUGGGAAUGAUAGCAUCUUAUUCCAAAGGCAUUUCAUAUUCUCUUUCCAUGCAGAUUUUUCAUAACCUUCCAAAUAGGAUGAUUUCUCUCUCUCUUACUUCUUAUCUUUUUCAUUUUAUUUAUUUUUCCUUCUUUCUUCUUAUUAUUUAAUUCAAACAUUUUUUAUAAAUAUUUCUAAACUAAGCCAUCUAUAAUUGACAUUUGUAUUCAUUUUUAUUACUAAUGAUGCUAAUAUAAUAAUUUAUUCUAUUUUAUGAAUUACAAUAAUUAAACAUAAUUAUAAUUGCUUAAUUUUUUUCGACACCCUAAAUUGUUUUCAAAUACAAGAAAAAAAAAUCAAUCAAAAUAUUUACCAAACAUAUGUUUAAUAGAAUUUGAUAUUUCUUUUAUAUUCGUAGAUAAGUCGGCAGCUUUUUCAUUCGCAAUAAUUUUCUUCAAAAAUUUUAUACUUAAUUUCAUAAAUUAAGUACAAAUAUAGUUUUUGUUAUUCUCAUCCAUUUUUUUUCCAAGCAUACAUAAAUUUUUACAAACAUUUUUGAAAAACUUAUAAAAAAAUUAAAUUAGUAAAUAAAAUAAGUAAUUUAUUAUUUUCAAAUAAGUACACAUACGUAUGUUUUAGAUUCGUGAUAUUUUGAUGCUUAUAUAAAAGAGAUAUUGAUUCAUCCAUUGAAAACAUCUACAUGUAGAUGCAAAUUUGAUACCAAUUAAUUAUUACCUACUUUAAGAAUUUGUGGUUAAGUACCUGAAUAGCAAUGACUGCAGCACGAUCAUGAAAGACAGGUAAUUCAGGAACAAGAUGAUGAAAUUCGGAAACUUUUCGAAACCCGUUACUAGAAAGAUGAUAAAAGUCACCGUCGGACUCCGCCACCGUCAUGGAAACCCCAUCGCCCUCGUGAAAUUCAAUGACGGGUACAUCCGAUUGCGAUGGCCAAACGAGGUUGCCAGCCAGAGGAAGAUAGUGUUGAAGAGUAAGAGACAAAGAGCUCUUGAGCUUCGGAACAAUGACAUCGUGAAACGAGAUCUCAUUCGAUGGAAAUUCAUAGAAAAAAAGACGUUGGGUUGGAAGAAACCUUAGCCACAAUAAAUCAAAGAAAGUGAGGGGAAGAGAUGACGGCACCACCGCGGCCGCCGGAGGAGGAGAGACUUUGCAGACGUCAAUUAAUUUUAGAGAAGGAAAGUUAGCCAUCGGAAAUAAAAAGAAAGUGAGGAUAAUUGUUUAGAUUUUUUCAAAACUUUGUGGUGCUUUAAAGGUACAAAAACGACUGAAAGAAAAUACAGAUGACGACGAAUUGGCUUUUGUCUUUGCUUUUUAAUCGUUGGAAAGGAAAAUCCUACAGAAUUGCAAAAAUAUCGGUAGUAUCAUUUGUAUAAUACAUCCAAACAUUUAUAAAAUAUAAUAAAGUUUUACUGUAUUUUAUAAUUAUUUUUAAGAGUUUUAUUCUUUACAAUCAUUUUCUCUACUACAUCUCAUAUUUACUAUAAAAUAUAAAUAUUUUGCUGAUUUUUAUAAAUUAUAUUUUUAAAUAUUUAUUUUAAAUAGGUUUUUUUUUAAUAAAAAAAAUAGAACUAAGUGACAAAAUAUUUACAACGUAUAAAACAAUUUCAAAAACGAAAAAAAUUCACAAAUCCACAUUAGAAAAUAUAAAAAAUGUCCAUAAUUAAUUGACAUCGAUAUAAUAUAUUUUGGAAAUCAUGGUUCAGUAUUUGAAAAACGAUCGUUUAAAUCAAAUAUAAAUCUAAUAAUUUUUUAAUAAUUUUUAUUUCACACAAUUUUUUAAAUUUGGGUUGCCAAAUCUCAAUCAUUUUUUUCAAUUUUUUGAAGAAAUGAUCGUUUAUAUUUAGUACAAAACGAUUUUAUUAACGAUUAUUGGUACACGAGCGUUUAAAUUUAGUACAUAAUUGUUUAAAUUCGUUUUUUUAAAGAUUGUUUUGGUAAACUAUCAUUUAAAUUAAAUUUGGUACAGAUCGUUUAUAUUUGGCUCUUUAAAUUUGGAAAGCCAAAUCUAAACGAAUUUUUUAAAAGAUUCUUUGAUAUUUAAAUUUAGCUAUACACGAUUGUUUAGAUUUAGUUAUAUAAUAUUUCAAUAAUUUUUUUUUACGAUCUUUUAUAUUUGUUCCACAGUCUAAACAAUCAAAUAAAAAAAAACAUUGUUUAUUUGGUACAUAAACUUGAACUAAAUGAAAAUCGAGAAAAAGUAUGCAAAUUUCGUUAUGAUUACAAAAUUUUGGGAACAACCCAAACAACAAACUUAAUCUAAAAAAGGGGCGGACUAUUUAGAUCAUUGCAUUUGAUUUAUUGUUUUUCUUACCAUGAUUUUCAUCUAAUUUUUCUCACAUGAACAUUUAAAUUUUCACCUAAAUUCUAUAUGAAAAUUAUAUAUUUUUUUAACUUGUUUAAAACAUUCCUAAAAAUAGAUAAUAUAAGAUAAUGAAUCUUCUCACUGCAAAAUAAUGUCAAAUUAAGAUGUUUAUAGCCCUUACCUACAAGCAAAUUAACAAUAAAUUUACAACAAAUUAAAUUUAUUAAAUCAGACAUGCAUAAAGUAAUAGUAUUUUAAACUAUUAAUUAAAUUAAACAUCAUUAUUAAAAAUGUAUCAAAACUCAAAAGAGCAACAAAUUAUUUGGAAACUAACAAUGAUCCCAAUGUUGAUCAUUAAAAAAAGAUUCAAAGCCUUGAUUAAAUAUAGUAACAAAAGCUUCCAUUUCAUCCCUUUCCCUAACAACACCAAUCUCCAUUACCACAUCACUAUUUUGACUAUCAGUCAAAGGAAAAACGUAUGGUGAUUCAGCGGACACAAUCUCCACUUUUUUUGGUUUUCCAAAUCCAAAAUCAGCGUUAUAAACUCCAAAUCUUGGUGAACCAGCUAGAGAAAUGGCUUGUAUUUUUGAAUAAUCAUUUGUCGCUUGGCUCAUCAUUGACCCCCAAUUCUCAGACCCAUUUAAAGCUCCAUCAUCCAACUUUCUAAUAGCUUUUGAAAUCUCAUCACAAGCCAAAAUUAUUCCAUUUUCACUCAAAAGUUCAAACCUCUCGAGAGAAGUAUACCCACCAACCAAACAAUUCCCAAAGUAAUUCAAUGGCACUUGUGGCUUUAAACGAGUUCUUGCAUCAGCUGCAAACCCAAACCACAAUUUUCCUUCUUUUAAACCUUCUAAUUUGGCUGUACAAACACAAAGAUAAGCUGUUGCUAUUGCAAAUGAAGAUAUGUGAGAAGAAGAAUCAAAAUUUUCGUUUUUGAUCUUCUUGUUCAAGAUCCAUUCCUUUAGCUUUUGAAUGUUUUGGUGUGUGAAUUCUAAAGUGCUUCUAACUAAACCAUGUUUUGUUUGGGGGAAUUUAAGGUUUAGGCUUUUGUUGUUGGGUCCUUCCACAUCUUUCCAUGCUUUUGCAUAGAUUUUUGCAAGAUCUUUUGGAUCAUUUAUAACUGACCUAUCAUAUAAUGGCAUUUGCUUGGGGGUUGGUAUAAAGGAUUCUUCAAUGCAAAUUUGAGCCCAUGAUUUGAUAAAUGAAGUUGAGCUCCUUCC